GAUGAACGUUGGCGGUGUGCCUAAUACAUGCAAGUCGAACGGAGUUAAUAGCAAUAUUGGCUCAGUGGCGAACGGGUGAGUAACGCGUUGGUGAUCUGCCUUGAAGUGUGGAAUAACGUUUCGAAAGAGACGCUAAUACCGCAUGUGCUCUCGAUUUUCAGAAAGUUGAGAGUAAAGGAUUUAUUCGCUUCAAGAGGAGCCUGCGUCCCAUCAGCUGGUUGGUAGGUAACGGCCUACCAAGGCUAUGACGGGUAGGGGACCUGAGAGGGUGGCCCCCCACAAUGGAACUGAAACACGGUCCAUACACCUACGGGUGGCAGCAGUAGGGAAUAUUAGAAAUGGACGAAAGUCUGAUCUAGCAAACACCGCGUGUGCGAAGAAGGCCUUCGGGUCGUAAAGCACUUUUUGGAAGGAAUAGGAAGGAAUGUACUCCAGAAUAAGUCUCGGCUAACUACGUGCCAGCAGCCGCGGUAAGACGUAGCGUG
rnacentral:rRNA from 1 species